CCUACGGGAGGCAGCAGUGAGGAAUAUUCGUCAAUGGACGAGAGUCUGAACCAGCCAAGUAGCGUGAAUGAUGACUGCCCUCUGGGUUGUAAACUUCUUUUAUAUGGGAAUAAAAUGUUCCACGUGUGGGAUUUUGUAUGUACCAUAUGAAUAAGGAACGGCUAACUCCGUGCCAGCCGCCGCGGUAAUACGGAGGAUCCGAGCGUUAUCCGGAUUUAUUGGGUUUAAAGGGAGCGUAGGUGGAUUGUUAAGUCAGUUGUGAAAGUUUGCGGCUCAACCGUAAAAUUGCAGUUGAAACUGGCAGUCUUGAGUACAGUAGAGGUGGGCGGAAUUCGUGGUGUAGCGGUGAAAUGCGUAGAUAUCACGAAGAACUCCGAUUGCGAAGGCAGCUCACUGGACUGCAACUGACACUGAGGCUCGAAAGUGUGGGUAUCAAACAGGAUUAGAUACCCCUGUAGUC
rnacentral:rRNA from 1 species